rnacentral:rRNA from 1 species
UGAGGAAUAUUGGUCAAUGGGCUUACGCCUGAACCAGCCAAGUCGCGUGAGGGAAGACUGCCCUAUGGGUUGUAAACCUCUUUUGUCAGGGAGCAACAACAUCUUACCGAGUAGGUGUUACGAGAGUACCUGAAGAAAAAGCAUCGGCUAACUCCGUGCC